rnacentral:rRNA from 1 species
AUUGAACGCUGGCGGCAGGCUUAACACAUGCAAGUCGAGCGGAGCGAGGGUGCUUGCACCUUAGCUUAGCGGCGGACGGGUGAGUAAUGCUUAGGAAUCUGCCUAUUAGUGGGGGACAACAUUCCGAAAGGGAUGCUAAUACCGCAUACGCCCUACGGGGGAAAGCAGGGGAUCUUCGGACCUUGCGCUAAUAGAUGAGCCUAAGUCGGAUUAGCUAGUUGGUGGGGUAAAGGCCUACCAAGGCGACGAUCCGUAGCUGGUCUGAGAGGAUGAUCAGCCACACUGGAACUGAGACACGGUCCAGACUCCUACGGGAGGCGGCAGUGGGGAAUAUUGGACAAUGGGCGAAAGCCUGAUCCAGCCAUGCCGCGUGUGUGAAGGAGGUCUUCGGAUUGUAAAGCACUUUAAGUUGGGAGGAAGAGUUGUAAGCUAAUAUCUUGCAGCUUUGACGUUACCAACAGAAUAAGCACCGGCUAACUCUGUGCCAGCCGCCGCGGUAACAC